AUGAACAGAGCUGACAAUAAUCCCUGCCUUCAGGGGGUUACAUCUAGUGGGAGGAGACCAGAUCACAGGGUAUUCCUGCAGGCAAUGCACAGAAAGAGACGGUACAGGCAAAGACAGAAGAGAAUUAAGGAUCCAAGCAAAAUACAGAAAAACCUUGCUUUAAAGAAACCCAACAUACAGAAACCUCUAUUGAUACAAAAACCUCCUAAGGAGUGACUUCUUCAACAGAUCUACAACGCUACUGAAAAGGAAGUUUCUUCCAUAUCUUAAGUAUCAUGUUUGAGACACAUUUUAUUUUAGGGCCAUGCCCCAUUGUAUAAAGAGAAGCUCAUCUGCAUUUAUCUCUGAAAAGAGAUUUCUUUUGAAAAAGCACCUCCCUCCUCUGCAAGCCCUGGAAGACAUAUUGAC
rnacentral:lncRNA from 1 species